GAACCCAAGUCCAGAGCCAUUUUCAAAUGUCAUCCCUUUCUAGUUAUGGCAAAUAAGAAACCAAGAAACACAACAGGAUUUUGGUAAGUUUCACAUUCUUUUGGUUUUCAGGUAAUUCUGGCCCAUAUUUUCUUCUGUCAUUUUUUCUUUUUCUAUUAUUUCUAUCAGUGAUUUUAAAAAUUUAUGGCCUUGUUUCUCUUCCCCUCCUAAAUUAAACUGAUUACAGUUUUAUAUCCCCAACUCCUGAGAUAAGUUACUGCUACAUAUUGAACUUAUUUCUUAUACACUCGAGGAUUUAAUGCUGCUUCCUUUAAAACUAAGAGCAGUUCUUAAUUCAUCUUAUUUUUAGAUGAAGGCAGGUGAUGAUUACUAGCCAAAUAUGUAGUCUCCCUUUAUUACCCAAAAUAGGUCACUCUUUUGAUAGUUAACUUCAGCUCAUUAUAGGUUUUAGAAUUUCCAACUGGCUUCAUCAUAACUAGACUUUUAUAUUGCUGUGGUGCAAUUCAAUUCCACCAGUUUAAGAAGUGGAAGUCCCCAAAGUUUUGUUACAAUCUCUUCCUCCCAUCUCUUAGUUCAAUUAUAGUGUCCAAUCUGGCAGCCUAGCCAAGAUACUUUUGAGAUAUCAAUUUAUAAGCACCAAGUACUAAAAAAGGGCUUAGUUUAUAUACAUCUCAGAAGGAUGACGUUUGGCUUGAUCUUAUUUUCGUAGGAAGGUGAUGCGUUCUCAAGAAAGAGAGACAAAAGAAAGGGGAGGGACAUAUCUCACCUAUUGAUGACAGUAUUCAUUUUAUCUACUGGUUGUACUUACUUCCUUCAAAGCAAUACUCUAGCACAUAGCCAUCUAAACCUGCUGCACCAAUGUGGCCUGGAGGGCAUACUGGGCUUGGAGAUGCCAAUGGCAUUGACUGCAAAGAUGCGGACCUCAUAGGCCACACCU
rnacentral:lncRNA from 1 species